rnacentral:piRNA from 1 species
UCCCACAUGAGUUAUCAAGGAAAUGCUCA